UAGUGGCAGACGGGUGAGUAAUGUAUAGGAAUCUACCUAGUAGUACGGAAUAAUUGUUGGAAACGACAACUAAUACCGUAUACGCCCUACGGGGGAAAAAUUUAUUGCUAUUAGAUGAGCCUAUAUUAGAUUAGCUAGUUGGUGGGGUAAUAGCCUACCAAGGUAAUGAUCUAUAGCUGAUCUGAGAGGAUGAUCAGCCACACUGGAACUGAGAUACGGUCCAGACUCCUACGGGAGGCAGCAGUGGGGAAUAUUGGACAAUGGGCGAAAGCCUGAUCCAGCCAUGCCGCAUGAGUGAAGAAGGCCUUUGGGUUGUAAAGCUCUUUUAGUGAGGAAGAUAAUGACGGUACUCACAGAAGAAGUCCUGGCUAACUCCGUGCCAGCAGCCGCGGUAAUACGGAGAGGGCUAGCGUUAUUCGGAAUUAUUGGGCGUAAAGGGCGCGUAGGCUGGUUAAUAAGUUAAAAGUGAAAUCCCGAGGCUUAACCUUGGAAUUGCUUUUAAAACUAUUAAUCUAGAGAUUGAAAGAGGAUAGAGGAAUUCCUGAUGUAGAGGUAAAAUUCGUAAAUAUUAGGAGGAACACCAGUGGCGAAGGCGUCUAUCUGGUUCAAAUCUGACGCUGAAGCGCGAAGGCGUGGGGAGCAAACAGGAUUAGAUACCCUGGUAGUCCACGCUGUAAACGAUGAAUGUUAAAUAUGGGGAGUUUACUUUCUGUAUUACAGCUAACGCGUUAAACAUUCCGCCUGGGGACUACGGUCGCAAGAUUAAAACUCAAAGGAAUUGACGGGGACCCGCACAAGCGGUGGAGCAUGUGGUUUAAUUCGAUGCAACGCGAAAAACCUUACCACUUCUUG
rnacentral:rRNA from 3 species